rnacentral:rRNA from 1 species
CACAUUUUCGCACGCACAAACACGUCUGCGCACACCUACGUGUGUGCAGAAGCGGGAGGCUCUCCUUGUUUUGCUGCGAGUGUGUCGGUGGAUAACGGCUCACAUAACGUGUCGCGAUGGAUGACUUGGCUUCCUAUUU